rnacentral:rRNA from 1 species
UACGUAGGUGGCAAGCGUUGUCCGGAUUUAUUGGGCGUAAAGAGCGUGUAGGCGGCCAGACAGGUCCGUUGUGAAAACUCGAGGCUCAACCUCGAGACGCCGAUGGAAACCGUCUGGCUAGAGUCCGGAAGAGGAGAGUGGAAUUCCUGGUGUAGCGGUGAAAUGCGCAGAUAUCAGGAAGAACACCCGUGGCUAAGGCGGCUCUCUAGUACGGUACUGACGCUGAGACGCGAAAGCGUGGGGAGCGAACAGG